AUUCCAGCUCCAAUAGCGUAUAUUAAAGUUGUUGCGGUUAAAAAGCUCGUAGUUGGAUUUCUGCCGAGGAUGACCGGUCCGCCCUGUGGGUGUGCAUCUGGCUCAGCCUUGGCAUCUUCCUGAAGAACGUAGCUGCACUUGACUGUGUGGUGCGGUAUUUAGGACAUUUACUUUGAGGAAAUUAGAGUGUUUCAAGCAAGCGCACGCUUUGAAUACAUUAGCAUGGAAUAAUAAGAUAGGACCUCGGUUCUAUUUUGUUGGUUUCUAGAGCUGAGGUAAUGAUUAAUAGGGGCGGUUGGGGGCCUUAGUACGACUUCGUUAGAGGUGAAAUUCCAAGAUCGAAGUCAGACUAACUGAAGCGAAAGCGUUGGCCAAGGACGCUCUCAUCA
rnacentral:rRNA from 1 species